rnacentral:rRNA from 1 species
AUUGAACGCUGGCGGCAUGCCUUACACAUGCAAGUCGAACGGUAACGGGCCUUCGGGUGCCGACGAGUGGCGAACGGGUGAGUAAUACAUCGGAACGUGCCCGAUCGUGGGGGAUAACGAGGCGAAAGCUUUGCUAAUACCGCAUACGAUCUACGGAUGAAAGCAGGGGACCGCAAGGCCUUGCGCGGACGGAGCGGCCGAUGGCAGAUUAGGUAGUUGGUGGGAUAAAAGCUUACCAAGCCGACGAUCUGUAGCUGGUCUGAGAGGAUGAUCAGCCACACUGGGACUGAGACACGGCCCAGACUCCUACGGGAGGCAGCAGUGGGGAAUUUUGGACAAUGGGCGCAAGCCUGAUCCAGCCAUGCCGCGUGCAGGAUGAAGGCCUUCGGGUUGUAAACUGCUUUUGUACGGAACGAAAAGCCUUCUUUUAAUACAGGAGGGUCAUGACGGUACCGUAAGAAUAGGCACUGGCUAACUACGUG